GACGAACGCUGGCGGCGUGCCUAAUACAUGCAAGUCGAACGCAGUGGGGACGGGUGAGUAACACGUGGGUAACCUCCCAUCAGAGGGGAUAACACUUGGAAACAGGUGCUAAACCGAUACUGAUGGAUGGACCCGCGGUGCAUUAGCUAGUUGGUGAGGUAACGGCUCACCAAGGCCACGAUUCAUAGCCGACAGGAGAGGGGGAUCGGCCACACUGGGACUGAGACACGGCACAGACUCGUACGGGAGGCAGCAGUGGGGAAUCUGCGGCAAUGGAAGAGAGUCUGACCGAGCAAUGCCGAGUGAGUGAAGAAGGUUUUCGGAUCGUAAAACUCGUGUGGUCGAGAAGCGGUAGCUAACCAGAAAGCCACGGCUAACUACGUGCCAGCAGCCGCGGUAAUUC
rnacentral:rRNA from 1 species